UCUAAGUACGAACCGAGAGAAGGUGAAACCGCGAAUGGCUCAUUAAAUCAGUUAUGGUUCCUUAGAUCGUACCCUGUUACUUGGAUAACUGUGGUAAUUCUAGAGCUAAUACAUGCAUCAGAGCUCCGACCUUCCGCCCGCUUCUCGAGAGAGAGUAAGGCGGCGGGAAAGAGCGCGUUUAUGAGACCUAAACCACUCGGACCCUUAAGAAAGGUCCGUCAAUUCCAGUGGUGAAUCUGUAUAACUUUUGGCCGAUCGCACGGGCUCGUCCCGGCGACGCAUCUUUCAAGUGUCUGCCUUAUCAACUGUCGAUGGUAAGUCACGCGCUUACCAUGGUCGUAACGGGUGACGGGGAAUCAGGGUUCGAUUCCGGAGAGGGAGCCUGAGAAACGGCUACCACAUCCAAGGAAGGCAGCAGGCGCGCAAAUUACCCACUCCCGGCACGGGGAGGUAGUGACGAAAAAUAACGAUACGGGACUCUUUUGAGACCCCGUAAUCGGAAUGAGCACAGCCCAAAUCCUUUAGCGAGGAUCCAUUGGAGGGCAAGUCUGGUGCCAGCAGCCGCGGUAAUUCCAGCUCCAAUAGCGUAUAUUAAAGUUGUUGCGGUUAAAAAGCUCGUAGUUGGAUCUCUGUUCCGGACGGGCGGUCCGCCUAACGGCGGUCUACUGUCCCGGUCUCGGAAACAUCUCUGCCGGUUUCCCCCGAUGGCCUUCACCGGCUGUCCCGGGCGACCGGCACGUUUACUUUGAAAA
rnacentral:rRNA from 1 species